rnacentral:lncRNA from 1 species
ACGAUGCACGCACCCACUGACCUGCGCCCACUGUCUGGCACUCCCUAGUGAGAUGAACCUGGUACCUCAGAUGGAAAUGCAGAAAUCACCCGUCUUCUGCGUUGCUCACGCUGGGAGCUGUAGACCAGAGCUGUUCCUAUUCGGCCUUCUUGGCUCCUUCCCUGGGCUCUUUUAUAUUGCUGGCAAAAUAGUGACUCCCCGUGGAACAGAGUUGUUGUUCAGCAGAAAUAAUCAAGAGUUGACAUCAUACCAGGUAAAAAAUAGAAGCGGUAAUUUUGAAGGUGCUGUCAGAAGAGUUAUUGAAGUGGUCAUGAACUCUAAAGUUACAGAGGCAAUUAUGUAAAGAUAAAAGAUAAAGACCUCGGGACUCAACAAUAAACCAGACCAGUAUGGCUCUAUCUUCAUGAAGAACAUACACAAUAAUUCAGGACUCACAGAAGUCGAUGAGCAGAACACAGAAGACUCAACCUGAAGAAAUUCCAUAUACGUGCUACUCCUGUGUUAGUGUUUUAAAUAAUUUAUAUAAAAGGGCAGAAACCUAGAAAUUCAUAUCAGAAUCUAUCUAUAUAUCACCUGUAGUUUUUAAAUAUAAUCAUGGGUAUGUUUUAUGUGUAUAUUAUUAUUUUGUAUUAUAGUUUUAGCCAUCAAACUUUUAAAGAAUUUAACUUACAAUU